AAUCUAAAACAUAUUCUAUUUUUAGAAAUCGUUAGGAAGUCUAGACCCAACGAGGAAGAUGUAACCAAAAGAGGCUUUAUGCAGAGGGAUGAAGAGUUUGAUUCAAAUGACUUACCAGAAAACAAAUUAUGGCAGGUACUUAAAAGAAUUAAAG